rnacentral:rRNA from 1 species
GAUGAACGCUGGCGGCGUGCCUAAUACAUGCAAGUCGAGCUAAUGGAUUAGGAGCUUGCUCUUAUGAAGUUAGCGGCGGACGGGUGAGUAACACGUGGGUAACCUGCCCAUAAGACUGGGAUAACUCCGGGAAACCGGGGCUAAUACCGGAUAACAUUUUGAACCGCAUGGUUCGAAAUUGAAAGGCGGCUUCGGCUGUCACUUAUGGAUGGACCCGCGUCGCAUUAGCUAGUUGGUGAGGUAACGGCUCACCAAGGCAACGAUGCGUAGCGGACCUGGCAGGGUGAUCGGCCAGACUGGGAAUGAGACACGGCCCAGACGCCUACGGGAGGCAGCAUGAGGGAAUCUUCCGCAAUGGACGAAAGGCUGACGGAGCAACGCCGCGUGAGUGAUGAAGGCGUUCGGGUCGUAAAACUCUGUUGUUAGGGAAGAACAAGUGCUAGUUGAAUAAGCUGGCACCUUGACGGUACCUAACCAGAAAGCCACGGCUAACUACGUGCCAGCCGCCGCCGUAA